GGUCUUGUAGCUCAGUUGGUUAGAGCAGCUCGCUCAUAACGAGAAGGUCGUGGGUUCGAAUCCCUCCGAGACCA
rnacentral:tRNA from 1 species